rnacentral:misc_RNA from 1 species
GAUGAAGAACGCAGCGAAAUGCGAAAAGUAAUGUGAAUUGCAGAAUUCAGUGAAUCAUCGAAUCUUUGAACGCACAUUGCGCCCGCCAGUAUUCUGGCGGGCAUGCCUGUUCGAGCGUCAUUUCAACCCUCAAGCCCCAGCGGCCUGGUGUUGGGGACCGGCGACCUCGCCCGAGCCCGCCCUCCGGGGCGCGUGCCCGGUGCGUCCGCCGCCCCCGAAAUGAAUUGGCGGCCUCGUCGCGGCCUCCUCUGCGUAGUAGCACAACCUCGCAAGCGGGAGCGCGACGCGGCCACUGCCGUAAAACGCCCAACUUUUUUAGAGUUGACCUCGGAUCAGGUAGGAAUACCCGCUGAACUUAAGCAUAUCAAUAAGCGGAGGA